rnacentral:rRNA from 1 species
AUGAAAGGUGAAGUCGUUGAACACUCGACACCACCUGAGAUGACGGGUGAACAAAUUCGUGAUCAACUAAAUGCUCUCCAGCCUGAUCCCAAUUGUCUAGGGUAUUUCUUGGGAUAUAACGAAGAACACGCGUGGACUCAUAAGCCAUGCUUAUGGGAUCUCCCCUACUUCCACCAGCUUGAGCUUCCACAUAAUAUUGAUGUAAUGCACACUGAAAAGAAUAUCGCCGAGGCCAUUUUUGGCACAUUGUUCAACAUUGCUGAGAAGACGAAGGAUAAUACUAAGGCUAGACUUGAUGUAAUGAAGCUAUGUGAUAGACCCGAACAAAACUUGCGACAACCCGAGGGCAAGAAAAACUGGAGGACACCAAAGGCGAGGUUUGUUCUUACUAGGGAACAAAAGAAGGAGAUACUCAUGUGGUUCAAAACUUUGUUGUUCCCUGAUGGGUAUGCAGCGAACCUUAUGAGGGCAGUGAAUCUUGAUAAAUUGAAGCUCAACGGGAUGAAGAGUCAUGAUUGGCACAUAUGGCUUGAGCGGUUAAUGCCGGUGAUGAUUCGAGGCUAUAUCCCUGAGGAUGAUUGGGAAAUAUUGGCAGAGCUUAGCUAUUUCUUCCAUGUUCUUUGUGCUAAAGAAGUAUCUCCUACUGUGAUAGAUGAGAUGGAAGAACGGGCCCCCGAGUUGCUCUGCAAGCUAGAGAAGAUCUUUCCACCAGGAUUCUUUAAUCCCAUGGAACAUAUGAUUUUACACCUCCCUUCCGAGGCAAGAAUGGGUGGCCCUGUGCAGAAUAGUUGGUGCUAUGGAGUUGAGAGAAUGCAGAAGACUCUUCAAGCUAAAUGUAGAAAUAAAUGUAGAAUUGAAGCCUCCAUAGCCGAGGCAUUCUUGGCGGAGGAGAUUACAAACUUCACGACAUCACGCUAUGCGGCCAAUAUUCCAAGCUUGCAUAAUGCAAAGUCUCGAUACAAUACUGGCGACCCUAAACAUGAAUCCAAGCUCAGCCUCUUCAAAGGGCAACUCGGACCUGUGGGUGCUUCUGGUUCAAAGAAUUUGGAUCCGAAAGAGUGGAAAUCUCUUACGUUGUAUAUCCUCACCAACCUUCAAGAAGUGCGGUCGUACAUUGAUGAAUUCAUUGCCCAAUUCUCGAAUGGAGGGGUCGAACGUGAUUCACUCGAAGAGUAUGAGCUUCUUGCUGGUGAAGGAGAUGACAAUUAUGGUUCAUUUCUUGGUUCAGAGAAAAGGAUACGUCAAUAUUGGACAAAGAGUUGA